rnacentral:lncRNA from 1 species
AGAUUCAGGGGGCUUUGCUCUGCAGAUGAUGAACAAUGGAAUCAAACAUUUAAGCUGUGAAUAAAUAAUUACUCAUUUCUCUGAUCUUUUGCGGCAAGACACCAACACCUGUCUUUAUUUUAAUUCAUUUCCCAGUGUGUUGUGGCGAGGAUGAAAUAGUGUAUCCUAGGAUGCCAGGGGAAUCCACCGUCUGCCACCGCGAGCGUGAGAAGCCAAUCACCUAUCACUGGUAUCACUGGCAUCCCGGCCAUAUAUACCCUAGAGUUGCAUCAAUGGAAGGUGUUGUGGAAAUUCAGUCAUUCAGUUCAUUCAUGAUAUGAUUUCUAGAUUCUUCAGUGUCUCAUAUUUCAGACAAUUAUAAAAUUGCGAUGCUAUAUUCUUUAUUUCAUGUGUGCAUAUUUAAAUGUGUUAAGUCAAUCACUAGUGCUACAACCAGAGGAGUAAAGGUGUAUUUCCAUUCCAGAUUUGGGUUUACUUUUAAUAGUAAAUAACAUCUCAGUGCAAAUUGUAGACAUUUUGCUGAUUGUUAAAACAUUAAUUAAAAAGGAUCUUUUUCUGAGACAGUGUUGCCAGGUUUGUAAAGUAAUGGACAUCACUUCAAACUGUUUGGAAGUAACCGAAAAAUGGAGGAAGUGGCAACAAAACUUUCCAUAUACCCACCUUCCUCAGUAUUUUUUGGUGAUCCCAUCUUUGUGAGUGUGAUAACGCUCGUAACAAUGACUGAGCCAAUAGUGAUACAUUCUUAUGAACAGAAGUCCAAGGUUAGCAUCAGUGACUGAGCCAAUAGUGAUACAUUCUUAUGAACAGAAAUCUAGGGUUAGCAUCAAGGUUCACUCUGUGUUGUCCAGCCUAUGGGUUUUGACAAACUGACAAUGUCUUUUGUCACCCUGACGGAAUAAUUUCACAUCCUACACAUGACCUGAGCUGCAUCUACUAAUUCCUCUCCUUUUCUGAGGAUUCCUGACAACUAUGGAUGAUUUUACUGCCUCUAUAGGUUUCCUUUUCCAGAAUUGUAUAGAGUUGGAAUCAUAGAGUAUGUAGCUACGUAUAACUAACUUAUUUUACUUAGCAAUAUACAUGUAAGAUCUUUUGUAUCGUUUUGAAGCUUAACAGCUUAAUAAUUCUUAUCAGUGAACAAUAGUCCAUUGGUUUCAUCGAACAGGGUUAGUUGGUUCACUCACUGCCUGAAGACCAUCUGAGCUGCUUCCAAUUUGGGUAAUUAUGAAUAAAGCUGCCCACAUUCUUGUGCAGAUUUUAAGAUGAACAUAAUUUUCUAAUUUAGCUGGGUAAAUAUGUAGAAUUUUGAUCACUUGCUGGUAAGACUAUGUUUUCCAUUGUGUUAGGCAGAAUUCACCAGUACAAUUAUGUGGGCAUUUUUUUUUAAGUUAUUACUUCCUGAUUAAAUUCUAUAAUGAUAGAGGCCUACUCAGAUUAUCUAUCUCUCCUUUGGGUGGUUAUGGUAGUUUCUCCCUUUGAAGGCAUUUGUCCAUUUCAUCUAAGCUAGGAAAUUUGUGGGUGUAGACACUUGAAUCUGACAAGUUGCCUGCUUGGUUCUCAUCAAAGGCUACUGUGCUUCCUGUCAUUCCUACUCUCAAACUUUUCAAUAGACUUUCACUCCUGCACUUAAAAAAUUGCAGGCAUAGAUUUGUUGAAAGUAUUCUGUUAUUAUUUUCUUAAUGAUUAUGGGAUCAGCAAGGAUAAUUCCUCUUCUAUUCAUAUUGUUUGUACAUCGUGUCUUCUGUAUUUUCUUUGUGAUUAGCCUUGCUGGAGGUUUACCAAUUCUAUUGAUCUUUUCUAAGAAGCAGCUUUUGGUUUUGUUGAGUUUCUUUAUUUUAUUAUUUCUAUUACAUUGAUUUCUGCAAAUAUUGUUAUAUUUUGGGGGAGGAGUGUUGCCUGGUUUACAUUACACUACACUUUUUUCUCUAGUUUCCUAAGGUGGAAAGUAAGACAUCUGGAUUUGGAUUACAUUUAGUUUACUGCACAGAAUUGUGAAUGGCACUGAUGCCCCUGAAGUGUGCACUUGAUUAUUAAAAUAAUAAAUAUGAUGUAUUUUGGCCACAAUACUGAUUUUAAAGCCAAUUAAAUGGAUGAUAAGUACAGGAGGAGCAUAUGUAGAUCAAGGAAAGAUAAAUGACAUUAUAACAUUUCAACAACAAAAGAAAUUUACCGGGCCUCAAAAUGCACAAGGGGGUGAUGGGACACUGUCAUGAAAUCAGCAGUGCAUUUGUGUGCCACCCUGUGUGAACUCUGCCUUUUUUGCAGUGGUGUGGGGGCUUAGCCAGAGAACCAGGUCCUGACUUCUGUGGCUUCCUGAUGGUCUCAUUUGCCUUCCCUCAUCACCCAGGAGGGUGUCCCAGUGGCAGCCAAGUUUCUACCCUUAACCCACCUCCUUUACACAUGCCAGCCCCCUGUCCUUAGCAUCCAAGGUUGCCUAAGGGAUUCCUUCAGUGGAACCAACAUGAUGACAGUUACUCUGUGUUUCCUAGAUUACGAUGAGGACCUGGUGCAGGAAGCUUCAUCUGAAGAUGUCCUGGGCGUUCAUAUGGUGGACAAAGACACAGAGAGAGACAUUGAGAUGAAACGGCAACUACGGCGACUACGGGAGCUCCACCUAUACAGCACAUGGAAGAAGUACCAAGAGGCGAUGAAGACAUCCUUGGGAGUUCCACAAUGUGAGCGUGACGAAGGCUCCUUGGGCAAGCCAUUGUGUCCACCCGAGAUACUCUCGGAGACGUUGCCAGGCUCUGUGAAGAAAAGGGUAUGCUUUCCAUCAGAAGAUCAUCUAGAGGAGUUUAUAGCAGAACAUCUCCCUGAAGCAUCCAAUCAGAGUCUCCUCACUGUUGCCCAUGCAGACACAGGCAUCCAAACCAACGGUGACCUGGAAGACCUGGAGGAGCAUGGGCCAGGGCAGACAGUCUCUGAGGAAGCCACAGAAGUUCACAUGAUGGAGGGGGACCCAGACACACUGGCCGAACUUCUGAUCAGGGAUGUACUUCAGGAGCUGUCCAGUUACAACGGCGAGGAGGAGGACCCAGAGGAGGUGAAGACAUCCUUGGGAGUUCCACAACGUGGUGACCUGGAAGACCUGGAGGAGCAUGUGCCAGGGCAGACAGUCUCUGAGGAAGCCACAGGGGUUCACAUGAUGCAGGUGGACCCAGCCACGCCGGCAAAGAGUGACCUGGAAGACCUGGAGGAGCAUGUGCCAGGGCAGACAGUCUCUGAGGAAGCCACAGGGGUUCACAUGAUGCAGGUGGACCCAGCCACACUGGCAAAGCAAUUGGAAGACUCCACCAUUACAGGCAGCCACCAGCAGAUGUCAGCAAGUCCUUCCUCUGCACCUGCAGAAGAAGCAACAGAAAAGACCAAAGUGGAAGAGGAAGUGAAAACCAGAAAGCCCAAGAAGAAAACCAGGAAGCCCAGCAAGAAAAGCCGGUGGAAUGUCCUGAAAUGUUGGGACAUUUUUAAUAUAUUUUAGAGACCUCUGAAGAUUCCUCGACCACCAGGAAGGGCCCCGACGUGGGGAUGUCAACAUGGCUCAGACUUGAUGUGGAUCGUGAUCAUUUCGGGAAAUGUGUUACUCCAAAAACUUUUAUAAUCUUUGCUUAAUUUGUUUUUAAAUACUUUCCUGGCUGGGCGUGGUGGCUUAUGCCUGUAAUCCCAGCACUUUGGGAGGCCGAGGCGGGUGGAUCACCUGAGGUCAGGAGUUAAAGACCAGCCUGGCCAACAAGGUGAAACCCCGUCUCUACUAAAAAUACAAAAAUUAGCUAGGCGUGGUGGCGCACUCUUGUAGUCCCAGCUAUUUGGGAGGCUGAGGCAGGAGAAUCACUUGACCUCAGGAGGCGGAGGUUGCAGUGAGCCGAGAUCAUGCCACUGCACCCCAGCACCUGGCUACAGAGUGAGACUUUGUCUCAAAAAAAAAAAAAAAAGAACAAAAAAAUUCUGACUUUAACCUCUGUUUUUCAGAGGGCACAAAUUGUUCUUGUAUUGUUUCCAUUUUACAUUUUUUUCUUGAAGUUAUUUUCCAAUUGUUUUCAUUCUUUCUGAAGUUUUGUUUACUCGGUUUUAAGUUUUUGUAAUUUUGAUAGACUUUUGUGCUUUCAUUUUCUUAAUGACUUUUACCUCAUUUUUAAAACAAAUCCAUAGUAUGGAUGAUAUUGAUGAUGAAAUGUCUUACGAUGAUCAUUUAGAGGUUUAUUUUGAACAACUGGCAAUUCCAGGAAUGAUGGAAUAAAGCAUACGAAGUAGAAGGACUGGAACCUCCAGAAAAAGUACUUUAAGUUACCUACAGGUGAUCCUAGUCAGAUCAACCAGUGGCUAGCAUUUGCCACCUUUUGCAGUUUCUUUCUCUUUCCAUAAGUACUUUCUUCUCUGAAUCAUUUGAAAGCAAAUGAAAACAGUAGCCUAAAGUGUCAGUUUCAACCAGAAAAUAACAGCUCUGAUUUCUCAUGGCUCAUACUCGUCUGAAACGACUCAGGUAGAGGCUGAGGAAGGCCGUGUUGUUUGUCUACCUGGGACUACACCUACUGAAAGAAGUUCUCAAGUUCUGAUUGAGUUCUAAAAUUUUUUGAAGAUUGGAAUUCUUCAUAUGUAAAAAGAGAAGAGAAAGACAUUCUUGAUUUUGGUGACUAGAGUUGUAGAUGCUGGAAGCUUUGCCACUAACAUUGAUGAACCAGAUGCAUGUCACCAGCCCAUCACGGUGAUUCUUAAUGCCGGCACCAUGGGCCCGGCACUGCCACGUUUUCCAAGGAACCUGCCGGAGCUCCUGCGGAAGCUGCUCCUCAGGCGAUGGAGUCCCUUCGCUGGUAGGCCCUUCUUCAGUCACCACAGGAUGCCUGCCAUUCAUGAACAAGAAGGAGAGGACGGGCUUUGAAUAAAAAACAGGAUCCAGGAAAUAUUUGUGAGGCCAUUUGGACUUCAGUGUGAAAUGGUGUUAAAAGAUGAAGUCAUUUAUUCAAGAAGUAAACCUCUGCCACCUGGACUGUGCGCAGACAUUUCAUUGAUUUUGUUUAAUAAACAUUUUCUGGCUUUGGGAGGUGUCUCUCUUGGUAGAACACAGUGUCAAAGAUGGACAAGAUGGACACAUAGUCCAUUAUUUGGUAUUGUUUGUGUAUGGGAGCAGACCACAAAUUAAUGUUUGGAGAACAAUUUUGUCAUAACACACUGUUGAGGCUCAGUUGUACAGAACUGGAAAAGUCUUCAGCUUGGCACAUGUCCUGAUUCAGCCUUUGUUUAACAUAUAUUCCAAUCCGGAUUCUAUCUUCACUGGCUACAAAGACCACCUGAUACGUGCACCACGACACAGGAGCUGCUGGAGAGGGGGUAGUGUUAUCACCUCAAACCCACAGCCAUAUUUUUCAAAAGCCAGCUUAGAGAGAGGUGUACUGAUAGCUGCAUAGAGAACAUGCAGUCCAUCCAUUCUUCCCAGUGAUGUACAUUUCUCAAUCAGUAACCACGUGGUAUACCAGCCUUGAGUGUCACAUCUCCCAACCAUACCAAAUGGAUCACCUAACUGGAGGUGGGGGGGGCCCUCAGAAAUGAGAUUUCGUAUUUACUGUAAAAUUGCCUUAUUUUUUCUUUUGAGGUGGAGUCUCACUCUGUUGCCUGGGCUGGAGUGCAAUGGUGUGAUCACUGCUCACUGCAACCUCCGCCUCCUGGGUUCAAGCAGUUCUCCUGCCUCAGCCUCCCAAGUAGCUGCAAUUACAGGUGCAUGCCACCACUCCCAGCAAAUUUUUAUAUUUUUAGUGGAGACAGGGUUUCACCAUGUUGACCAGGCUGGUCUCAAACUCCUGACCUCAGGUGAUCUGCCCACCUUGGCCUCCCAAAGUUCUGGGAUUAAAGGUACGAGCCACCGCAACUGGCUGAGAAUCUUUUUAUUUGCUGAUUUGUCUCUUGUGUAUUUUCUUUGUUCAGAUGUCUCUUCAGAUCUUUUUCUCACUUUUAAAUUGUUUUUUAAUUGUUAAGAAUUUUCUGUCUAGUUUAGAUAUAAGCCCUUUAUCAGACAUGUGUUUUGCAAAUAUUUUCUCCUAGUCUGUGGCUUGUAUUCUGUCUCUUAACACUCAUUUUAUUUUUACUUUUGGAACUAAAGAAGAAGAAUGGUCAGCUUUCCAUUAUUCUUGUAACAGUAAUGGCAGAACCAAGUCUGCUAAUGCUACACUGAGCAAAGAAAGUCACCUGGUGAAGUCCAACAUUAAUGAAAUGGGGUAGUACAUGCAGGCAGCGUUGGGGGUGGGGAGGGAACAAAUGCUUCUUGAGAGUAAUAUAAUCUGCCAUACCAUCCAGGAACCUACAAUGGCUAUCUAUUACCUUAUUCUCUGGUUUGUUUAAUGUUCGAAUCUUUCCGAAAGAUCCUUCAACCUUUCUGGAAGAAUCUAAUCUGAUAACACCAUCAAAAACACAUUACUUCUUUUGGCAUAAUUUAAAUUGUAAGACAUCAUUCACAUUUAUCAAUGUUACAUAUAUAAGAACUCACCCACCAUAUUCUUCCUUGAGGAAUUACAGCAUGUAAUUCUAUAAUCAUUUUUAUAAUCGUCUAACAAUUUUAUAAUGGAUUGGUUGCUUACUAUCAAUUUUUUAAAAGUCAUGGCUUCUCCAGUCAUUUCUUGCUUAUCGAAAUUAUUUCAUGAGAUGGGUCUCUCCUUGUAUAUUUGAAAAUGAGGUUUGCUUCCUUCUACUUAAAAAACAACUUGAACAUACCUGUUUGGAUCACAUGGUCUUGUCCUGAUAACUUGGAAGAGGUUGCUUCAGCAUUGUUCUUAUUGUUGUGGUGGUUAUUAUUAAUAUUGUUUCAUAUUCUGUUUAAAAAAUUAAAAUUUUACACAAGACCAAUGUCUUCUUUUCAAUUCCAGUACAUUUUUCAGAAGUAACUAAUGCUAUUGGCUUUGUGCAUUGUAAUUUCAGACCAUUUUAUAUGUCUUUAGUUAUAUGUACAGUAUACACACAUAUGUGUCAUAUUAUUCCAUUUUUUCUAGCAUUAAACAUUGCUAUGGAAAACUCUCGGAAAAAUAUUUAUUUGAACAGAACUUUUUCUUUUCUCAGAUGUACCCUCCUUAGGAAUCUUUCUUUGAUCCUUGAAGUUUGGUAACAACUUUAAAUAUGUGUAUCCCAGCUGGGAGCAGCGGCUCACACCUGUAAUUUCAGCACUUUGGGAGGCCGAGGAGGGUGGAUCACCUGAGGUCAGGAGUUUGCCUGGCCAACAUGGUGAAACCCCGUCUUUACUGAAAAUACAAAAAGUUAGCCAGGUGUGGUGGCUGGCACCUGUAAUCCCAGCUACAUGGGAGGCUGAGGCAGGAGAAUCGCUUGAACCUAUAGAGACAAGGUUUCACCAUGUUGACCAGGCUGGUCUCGAACUCCUGACCUCAGGUGAUCCACCCACCUCAGCCUCCCAAAAUGCUGGGAUUACAGGCAUGAGCCAUUGCACCCAGCCAUACAGGAGCAAGUUUAAAAAUUAAAUAUUUAUUUGAAUAACAAGCUUACAUUGGAGCUGCAAUGUUGGCAAUCCAGAUUUUGAACACGGAUCACAAAAAGCAUGCAUAAAAUCCUACUGGCCCAGAGAACAAAACACUGCUCAGAAUUAAGCGAAAUAGCUGCUACUGUUAAGAAAACAGGCCUGAAAUCAAUAUACAAGAUUUUAAAAAAUGUAUUGGCCGGAUGCAGUGGCUCAUUCCUGUAAUUCCAGAACUUUGGGAGGCCAAGACAGGAGAAUCACCUGAGGUCAGGAGUUCAAGACCAGCCUGGCCAACAUGGUGAAACUCCAUCUCUACUAAAAAUAAAAAAUUAGCUGGGUGUGGUGACACAUGCCUGUAGUCCCAGCUACCUGGGAGGCUGAGGCAGAAUAAUUUCUCGAACCCAGGAGGAGGAGGUUUGCAAUGGCAUGAUCUCUGCUCACCGCAACCUCCGCCUCCCGGGUUCAAGCAAUUCUCCUACUUCAGCCUCCCGAGUAGCUGGGAUUACAGGCAUGUGCCACCAUGCCUGGCUACUUUUCUGUAUUUUUAGUAGAGACAGAGUUUCUCCAUGUUGGUCAGGCUGGUCUUGAACUCACAACCUCCGGUGAUCUGCCUGCCUCGGCCUCCCAUAGUGCUGGGAUUACAGGCAUGAGCCACCAUGCCUGCCCAUGAAAGCACUUUUAAAAAGAGAGCACCUCUGCUGCCUGGUCAUAUUCUGUACCUGUUCCCAAACCCUGAAACCAGUGAUGUCAAUGGCUGCGUGGGCAUUGAACGUGUACAUGAUUCCUGCAGCUUUCCUGUUGACCUGGACCAUGUUCAUCAAUGCUUUUUGGUACAUUAAUUCUACAUCUUCUUCGGUGACCACAGUUUAUGUUUAUUUCAUUUUUCAGGAAUAUCCAGCCACUGGUGCACAGCCAUUGCCACUUGUGCCCCCAGGGGAUCUUGUCAACUCCAGUAUGUCCCCCCAGCACUGUGUUAUCUGGCAUAAUAAAUGUAGUUGGGCUGUAGUUGUAGUGACUCCUCCCAAAACAACCCAGGAGUUUAAUACUGUUUGGCCACCGGUUACAGACAUUGCUGCCCCUUCCGCUGCGGCUUUAAAAGCCUAUCUAAUCGGCUGGGUGUGAUGGUGGCUCAGACCUAUAAUCCCAGCACUUUGGGAGUCCAAGGUGGGUGGAUCACCUGAGGUCAGGAGUUUGAGACCGGCCUGGCCAACAUGGUGAAACCCCAUCUCUACUAAAAAUACAGCAAAUUAGCUGGGCGUGGUGGCGCAUGACUGUAAUCCCAGCUACUCGGGAGGCUGAGGUAGGAGAAUUGCUUGGGUGGCAGAGUAAGACUCCGUCCCAAAAAAAAAAGUUAUCUAAUCAGGGACGUCACCUUUCCCUGCCAGUCAUUUUGUUACCAAUGAAAGAAAACAUAUUCAAAUCAAUUUUUAGUUCAGAAAAUGUUUCUUUCAUUGUAUCUUUGAAUUUUAUUGUUCUGCAUUUUUUACUUCAAAAACACCUACUAUAUGCAUUUUUUCUCUCGUUUCCUUUUUUUUCCAAGAAAUGUUUUUGUCCUUUUGAUUUUUUCACUGACCAUUACCAUUAUUUAUAUACCAUGUACCUGGAGAGUUUCCAAUGUUUCUCUUUGGUCUGAGAUACUUGCUAUGAUUUUCACUUUUUAAAUGCUCUUUUGAGAUUUGUUUUGUGGCCUAAAAUGUGGUCUAUCCUGGAGAAUGUUCUGUGAGCUGAUGAGAAGAAUGCACGUUCUGCAGUUGGUGGGUGAAAUGUUCUGUAAUUACCUGUGAGGUCCCUUUGACUUCUCUUGGAGUCAGUCUGGUCUGUUACUUUUCUGCCUAGAGGGUGUGUCUGUUGCUGAAAGUGGGUGUUGGAGUCCCCAGCUAUUAUUGUCUGUCUCUGUCUGUUGCUCGAAUAACUCUUACUUUAAUAACUGGGGCUCCUGUGUCAGGUGUGUUUACAUUGACAACUGUCCUACCUUCUUGCUGAAUUGAUCUCUUUAUCGUUUUAUAAUGACCUUUAUUUUCUAUUUUUGUGCUUUUUUGACUUAAAGCCUACUUUGUGUGACAAGCAUAGCUAUACAUACUCACUUUUGGUAACACUUUUCAUUUCUUAUCAUCUUCAUUGAAUCUCACUUCUUCACAUUUACCAAAAUGUCUACUUUUGAGCUGUGGCACCUCUUUGAAUCUUCAGAUCCACCACAUGCUGAUCAAGCCUUCCUUUUUGUCUGUACUCUGAGGAAUCCCAAACAGGCAUUUUUGCAAGAAAGUCUAGGAGGGAAACAUAAAUCUAUGUGUCAAAAAAAUGAACAUAGAAAAUAAUGUGUCCUGGUUAACAAAAGUUCUCAUUGUAAAGUGUUAGGCACAAGACUAUGGAAUUUCAUGUGCCAUAAAUAAAAUUGUCUUGAUUUGUCUAAAACUACAUUUUGUCUAAAACUACUUUUAAAAAUUACAUGUUACUCUAAUA